rnacentral:misc_RNA from 1 species
AAGACUAUAGACCUGCGGAGUACCUCCGGAAGGAUCAUUAACGUAUCUAUGAUGGGGUGCGGAGCGCCCUGCUCCGGUCGAACGGCCGUGCAGCGGGUGCGCCGCCCCCGUCCCACCUCACAAACCCACUGUGAACAUUCACCGGUGGAGGGGGCUCGGUCUGCGCCGUGUCCCCGAUGCCGAAUACCCAAACUCCAGUUGCAAAGAACGUCGUGCGGACUCGGUGCCGCCUAAAACAUG